CUCGCUUCAUCUCUUUUAGUUUCCUCAUCUGUAGAAAGAGGAGUCUGAAGGCUUCCUUAUCCAGGAAGAAGUGAGAUCUCCGUCGCUAUCCACCAGUUUUUAAUUGUAAGCCACCUGUGGAGUGCUGCAGGAUGGGCUCUUAGGACACAAACGGCCCUGAUUUGCAGCAGAUGCCAAUUUUCUUGGUGAAAACACACCCAUCACCUCCGAUUGGAAGUAAAAUGUGAUGCUUUGCUUCCGAGAGGAGGUGUUGGGAAGAGACGCCGACCCAGGGCUCUUCCCUCCAGCGCUCCCUGAAGACAGCACAUGACUGUGGGGCUGGUCGCUCAAGGGAGCGGUGCCCAGAGGCUGGACAGCAGCUGGCCGAGUUCCCAGCCGGCCCAUCGCACUAGGAGAAGAGCAGCCAGGAGCAACCCCCAAGUCACCCCCAAGGGAAGAUGCCACUGCUGGUGCCUCUGGCACAUGCUCCCUCGUCCCCAAGGAUUCUGGACACUGGUUGAUGCCAGUAAUGCUGCAGCCACUGACAUCUGUGGACCUGUUGCCGCCACUCCACCCCCAGCAUGGAGAAGAGCUGGGGCUACCCACCAUUAGCUCUCUUUUUUUGGCACUGGGGAUUGAGUCCAAGGGCAUUUAACCCCUGAGCCACAUCCCCAGCCCUUUUUAAUUUUUUUAACUUUAUUUUGAGACAGGGUCUUGAUAAGUUGCACAUGGCCUCGCUAAGUUGCUGAGGCUGGCCUCCAAAUUGCAUUUAUCCUGGCUCAGCCGCUGGAGCUGCUGGGAUUACUGGCAUGUGCCACCGCGUCCUUCCCAUCAUUGGCUUCCACUUAACCCAGGAAGGGGCAUCUGUUUGGUAGAGCUCUGUCGGUGCCCUAGCUGCAAGGGAAGCUGGGAGUGUGUGUGUGUGUGUGUGUGUGUGUGUGUUUCCUGUAGCUGCUAUAACGAACAACCCCCAGGCAGUGGUUUAAAGGCGGUUUCUUUGACUCUCACAGUCCUGGAAGCCAAAAGUACAAAAUCAAGGUGCAGCCGGGCUGCAUUCCCAGAGUCUUUGGAGAAGGAUUUUCCUUCCUCCUCCACCUUUUGGUGGAUGCCUGUGUCUGGAGCUGCAGCAAGCCAAUCUCUGCUCUUAUCUUCCUGUGGCCUUCCUCUCUUCCCUCUGGUCUGUCUUUUGUGUGUCUCUUCUAAGGACACUUGUCUUUAGGGUUAGAGUCCACUGGGAAGAUCCGGGACAAUUUCAUCUUGAAAUCCUAAACCUACUUACAUCUACAGACGCCCCCUGUUUUCAAAUAAGGCCCCAUUCUCAGGUUCCAGUUACUGGCAGGUGGCGGGUAGCCAUCUUUUGGGCCAGAAUUCAAUAAAUUGGUGAAUUUUAUCUGCAUGUCAGCUUCUAGAGUGGGCAGUGAGCCCUGCUUUAUUAGACAGGAGAUUCCUCAGUUAAAAGAAGGGGGCUCCCAGGUUGGGGUGGUUGGAAAGAAUAUCCAGUGUCUGUAGAUUGGAGGUGGUGCGUGUUUUUCUGUCAAGGGUCAGAGGGUCAUGAAAACAGCCAUAGAUGAUAUGUCCUCAAAUGGGCUGUAUAUUCUAAUAAAACUCUAUUUACAAAAACAAAUGGCUGUCCAGAUUUGGCCCACGGGCUGUAGAUUGCUGACCUCGCUUCCAGACUAUGAAGGAGCCCAGCUUGUCAUAGUGCUAAAUGUGGUCUGAGUCUUCAAUCUUUGGUGUCUUCAAAGUGUACUGGACAUGGAGGACUGUCUUAGCCCCUUUUGCGUUGCUGUAACAAAAUGCCAUAGACGAGGUAGUUUAUAAAAACAGAAAACUUAUUUCUUACACUUUGGGAGUCCAACGUCAAGAGCCCUGCAUCUGGCGAGGGACUUCUUGCCGCAUCAUUACAUGGUGGAAGGCAGAAGGGCACAUGUUUAGGCACCCAUGUGGGGGGGAGACAGAAAAAGAGAGAAAGAAGGAGAGAGAGGGAGAGAACUGAAGCUCGGCCACAAGCCUUUUUAAACCCUGCACUAACCCCUUCCUAAUGGCAGAACCCUCACGACCGUUGUCACUUGUCACCUUAGAACACCGUUGCCUUGGUGAUUUGGGGGUCACAAUGAAAUCAUAACAAGGACCAAACUAGGGCAGAAAUCAAUCAAAAAUGAAGACUCAUCUCUAACGUGGUGUGGCCAGUACUCUUUUACCCUUUAUAUUUUUAUGACUGGGGAUUGAACCCAUGACCCCAUGCACACUGGGCCAGUGCAGUACUACAUCCCCAACUCUCACCUAUGUGAGGCACUGGGUGUGGUGAUGGUUAGGACCUGCUCCUCCGUUUGCAGCCAUAAAUUGGUAUGAGCACAAUUCUGAUCAAGGAACAGCUAGACAAGCUGAAUCCUGCUUCCUUUUCUGAGGAAGGCCCUGGAGAGGACAUUUCCAGGUUCUCUUGCCGCCCUGAAAGCUUGGCUGGUCCCGGCAGUGGGGCACUCCCAGCACUCGGGGGCCACCUGUGCUCUGCUAGUCCUUCUGUCUGCCCCCUGAAUUUCCAGGACUUUCAAAUUUCUGAUCCAAGAGAAUUUUAUAGACGUGGCCUGCGUGGCUGGCUGUAACAACCGUCUGUGGAAUAAACGAGCCCUUCUGUUG